CAAAAACCUAAAAAAACUACUAGAAAAAAGUAAAAAUAAUACAAACCUCACUCUCUUCUUUCACUAAUAUCUCAACUUCAACUUGGAAAAUAAUACAAACCUCACUCUCUUCUAUCACUAAUAUCUCAACUUCUCCAAUCACAUUCAAGGAUCAAUUUGGCCAAUUAAAAGAGCAGCAACAAAAAAGAGAAAUUACUUUGAAUGAUGAUUGUAUCUUUGUAAAAGUACUUGAAACAGAAAAAGAUGAAUAUCUUCGAGCAUAUGGUCCUGAAAAUAAUCUUACUGAAUACUUUGGUUGAAGAUCAACAAAGGUACGACUCAUAAAAUAAUUAGAAUCAACCAGAAAAGAAUCAAAUGAGCGUAUGGAAGAAGUUAAAAAGGGAGGUUGAUAAAAAAUUAAAGAAAUGGAGAAAGAAACAGAUAACAAGUUAGUAGAGUUGAGUAGAAGAUGGAAAGAAAAAUUUCAAAUGAUGACUGCAGCUCAAGGUUGACAAUCAAAUAAUGCAAAUCUAACUCUUGUGAAGGAGGGACGAAAGAAUCAAGAUUGUCAAGUACUUGGACAACCAUUUUCUUUUGUUAAAGCAUGUGCGUUAAAUGAUGUUUUAUUGUUUUAAAUAAUUUUGUUAAACUUUUGUUAACUCUUUUCUUUAAUUUAUUGCAUUAUUACAUGAUUUAAAAUAUUCUGCUA